rnacentral:rRNA from 1 species
AUCUAGGGCCAUAUCAACCUAAAUGGGCCUUAUCUUAUCUGAUCACAGAAGUUAAGCAGGGUCAGACCUGGUUAGUACUUGUACAGGAGAAAACAGCUACAAUUUUUAAGUACUUAGAAGUCAAAGGAUAUUUGAUA